UUUUUUUUUUUUUUUGCGCUUUUAGGCCCGCACCCUAGGCAUAUGGAGCAGCCCAAGAAAUGGCAAAAAGACAAAAAUAAAAAAUAAAAUAAAAUAAAAUGCCCCAGACACACACCCCUCAAAACCUUCUUACCCUCACGUCAAAAUGGGCAGAGGUCAGUUACCACAUAUUAGAAGGCGGCCGGGCAAUGCCGACGCUGCAAGGGCAGCAGCCACUGGCUCCAAAGGUACAAAGUUCGCUGAGCCAUCCGAAGGUCAUUCAACAAGCAGCAGCAACAGAAGCACCUUCCCCUCAACUCCCACGGCCCCAACCACUUCUCUUUUUUUGGCAAAAAGCUAGCGGGUUGCCUUAGCCACUGUCGAGCUAACUCCAAAGCUGAAGAGAAAAUGUUAGAGUAGCAAGUACUUCAAGGGCUUAUAAGAGAAAAACUUCCAUUUAUAGCAAUGCAGAGAAAUAGCUGCAAAAGGCACCAACUUUGCUGUGUUUGAAUUUGUAAAAUGUUUUAAAAGUUGUAAAGAAUUAAGUGACCCACUGACCUAGCUAACUGGAAAUCUAAAGACUGCCGGAAUUUCGUGUGGAAAAUCUGAGGUAAAUGUCCUUCAUUUGACCAAAUAACUAAUCAACUACCCAUCCACAUGCAGAAAGCUGAGCAGCAGUCUCUGCAGGAGGAGAACCGGGCGGAAGCCUCAGAGCGACACGUCAAAAGCCAAAGAGAAAGGAAAGUGAAAAAAUACAAAACUUCCAAAAUUCAGCUGCUUUCCUAAAGCAGGAGCAAUUUGGAAGUAGGCUACAGCAGGAAACCAACUUCUCUUUGUUGCUUUCUGCAUUUCUAAACCCAUUCUUUUUCAUAAGAAAAGUAGUUGCCCCUUUUCUCACAAAGAAAUACCCAAUGGCUUACAUCACGGGACAACCACAAUGCUUACAAACCACUUUUUAAUAAAUGAGAAUAAUUCACACUUUUUUUAUAUUUUGACAAAAGCUUAUCCUGACAUUAGCGUUCUUUCUGCACAAUGAAAGCCCUGAAAGACACGGGUCCUGGAGCACGUCCCGGUCCUCCUCGGUCCCCUGGAGCAGACGUCUACAGAUGGCAGGUCACAGACCAGACAGAGUGGCAUCCAAGCAGAGGCUGGGUGUGCAAAGACUGUCAUUAUUUCACAUGCCCAGGGAAAGCGUCCAUAACUCAAGAAAAGUUUUGUUUGGCUUUUCCAAAGUACCAAAAAGGGGAGACUUGGUCAAAAGGGUCUCCUAAUUUACACAGUACUAGAGGCAACACAUCAAACACACCUUACGAAUGAACAUGAAAACCACAUGAAGAGGUGUGUCUUACUGAACCCACAGGAAGUAAGUCUGGCCAGGCACUUACUCUCAUCAUGACAGGUGAAUCUCUCUAGAGACCUGCACUUCCAAGUCCUGGGGAGAACCGUGACUAACCUGUACAUAAGUGAUGAAGGAGUGACCCACGCAUACCAACCACAGGGCGAAAAGCAGAUGCAGACUGUCAACCCAGUACCAGCACCGAAGCAUGUCGAGAACCAAAAGCCUCACUCCUUCUGCUUACGGACGAACGACAAGGAACCACCUACUCCUCUGGAUGCCACACCCGUUUCUGGUCACCAGACGGAGGUCCAGAGAAGCACUUUUACCUCUUCCCUCCCUGCCCAUCUGACAGGUCCAGCCAAUCUCACAUCGAAGAUGGCUCCUGAAGUCAUGGCCCUUUCUUUUUUCUUUUUUUUUUUCCUUUUUGCCUUUUCUAGGGCUGCUCCUGCGGCACAUGGAGGUUCCCAGGCUAGGGGUCUAACCAGAGCUGUAGCCUCCGGCCUACACCACAGCCACAGCAAUUGGGAUCCGAGCCACCUCUGCAACCUACACCACAGCUCACGGCAACACCGGAUCCGUAACCCACUGAGCAAGGCCAGGGAUUGAACCCACAACCUCAUGGUUCCUAGUCGGAUUCGUUAACCACUGAGCCACGACGGGAACUCCUGGAGUCAUGGCCUUUCUUCAGGCUCUCCUUACCUCCUACGUAAGUGUCCUUCCUUCUACUUACAACCUAAACUCAGAUUACAGGCCACCUCUGCUAAAUCACGGCUCAGAUCUUCUGCCAAAAUUCCUUUAACAAAUAUUCAUGGAACAGGUACUAUGUGCCAAUCACUCUUCUAAAUUCAGGGGAUACUUCUGCAAUUCUAACAGCUUAAUGGGAAUCAUCUGUAACUUUUAUUGCCCACCAAAUAUCUCCAGAAUCUUUGCUGGGCACUUGAGGUCAUCUCUGAAGUAGACGAAACGUGCCUUUCCUGCCUUAAUCCAUGUACUC
rnacentral:lncRNA from 1 species